rnacentral:misc_RNA from 1 species
AAGUCGUAACAAGGUUUCCGUAGGUGAACCUGCGGAAGGAUCAUUAGUGUAUGGCCGUGAAGGCUGUUCCAUCCCAAUCAAUACUUUUGUGAACGUGUUAUGGUAGCUUUGGCGGGGCCGCGCAAGCGCUCGUAAGAGAGAAGUCCCCCGCCGGAGGAAACUUAUCAAACGUGUUUGUUACCCGUCAGAAAGUCCAAUUUUUAUACAAUCUAUAAAACUUUUAGCAACGGAUCUCUUGGCUCUC